GGACCCGUAGCCCAGCGGAUAAGGCGACGGCCUUCUAAGCCGUAGAUCGAGGGUUCGAAUCCCUCCGGGUCCG
rnacentral:tRNA from 4 species